UUUCCGUGGGUGAACCUGCGGAAGGAUCAUUACAGAGUUCAUGCCCUCACGGGUAGAUCUCCCACCCUUGAAUAUUUAUACCUUAGUUGCUUUGGCAGGCCGUGGAAACACCAUGGGCUCCGGCUUAUGCGUGCCUGCCAGAGGAAACAAACUCUGUUUUUAGUGAUGCCUGAGUACUAUAUAAUAGUUAAAACUUUCAACAACGGAUCUCUUGGUUCUG
rnacentral:misc_RNA from 1 species